rnacentral:rRNA from 1 species
GGGUUGUGAGGUUAAGCGACUAAGCGUACACGGUGGAUGCCCUGGCAGUCAGAGGCGAUGAAGGACGUGCUAAUCUGCGAAAAGCGUCGGUAAGGUGAUAUGAACCGUUAUAACCGGCGAUGUCCGAAUGGGGAAACCCAGUGCAAUUCGUUGCACUAUCGUUAACUGAAUACAUAGGUUAACGAGGCGAACCGGGGGAACUGAAACAUCUAAGUACCCCGAGGAAAAGAAAUCAACCGAGAUUCCCCCAGUAGCGGCGAGCGAACGGGGAGCAGCCCAGAGUCUGAAUCAGCUUGUGUGUUAGUGGAACGGUCUGGAAAGUCCGACGGUACAGGGUGAUAGUCCCGUACACCAAAAUGCACAGGUUGUGAACUCGAAGAGUAGGGCGGGACACGUGGUAUCCUGUCUGAAUAUGGGGGGACCAUCCUCCAAGGCUAAAUACUCCUGACUGACCGAUAGUGAACCAGUACCGUGAGGGAAAGGCGAAAAGAACCCCGGCGAGGGGAGUGAAAAAGAACCUGAAACCGUGUACGUACAAGCAGUGGGAGCACCUUCGGGUGUGACUGCGUACCUUUUGUAUAAUGGGUCAGCGACUUAUAUUCUGUAGCAAGGUUAACCGUAUAGGGGAGCCGCAGGGAAACCGAGUCUUAACUGGGCGUUAAGUUGCAGGGUAUAGACCCGAAACCCGGUGAUCUAGCCAUGAGCAGGUUGAAGGUUGGGUAACACUAACUGGAGGACCGAACCGACUAAUGUUGAAAAAUUAGCGGAUGACUUGUGGCUGGGGGUGAAAGGCCAAUCAAACCGGGAGAUAGCUGGUUCUCCCCGAAAGCUAUUUAGGUAGCGCCUCGUGAAUUCAUCUUCGGGGGUAGAGCACUGUUUCGGCUAGGGGGUCAUCCCGACUUACCAACCCGAUGCAAACUACGAAUACCGAAGAAUGUUAUCACGGGAGACACACGGCGGGUGCUAACGUCCGUCGUGAAGAGGGAAACAACCCAGACCGCCAGCUAAGGUCCCAAAGUCAUGGUUAAGUGGGAAACGAUGUGGGAAGGCACAGACAGCCAGGAUGUUGGCUUAGAAGCAGCCAUCAUUUAAAGAAAGCGUAAUAGCUCACUGGUCGAGUCGGCCUGCGCGGAAGAUGUAACGGGGCUAAACCAUGCACCGAAGCUGCGGCAGCGACACUAUGUGUUGUUGGGUAGGGGAGCGUUCUGUAAGCCUGCGAAGGUGUGCUGUGAGGCAUGCUGGAGGUAUCAGAAGUGCGAAUGCUGACAUAAGUAACGAUAAAGCGGGUGAAAAGCCCGCUCGCCGGAAGACCAAGGGUUCCUGUCCAACGUUAAUCGGGGCAGGGUGAGUCGACCCCUAAGGCGAGGCCGAAAGGCGUAGUCGAUGGGAAACAGGUUAAUAUUCCUGUACUUGGUGUUACUGCGAAGGGGGGACGGAGAAGGCUAUGUUAGCCGGGCGACGGUUGUCCCGGUUUAAGCAUGUAGGCUGGUUAUCCAGGCAAAUCCGGAUAAUCAAGGCUGAGGUGUGAUGACGAGGCACUACGGUGCUGAAGUAACAAAUGCCCUGCUUCCAGGAAAAGCCUCUAAGCAUCAGGUAACAUCAAAUCGUACCCCAAACCGACACAGGUGGUCAGGUAGAGAAUACCAAGGCGCUUGAGAGAACUCGGGUGAAGGAACUAGGCAAAAUGGUGCCGUAACUUCGGGAGAAGGCACGCUGGUGUGUAGGUGAAGUCCCUGCGGAUGGAGCUGAGACCAGUCGAAGAUACCAGCUGGCUGCAACUGUUUAUUAAAAACACAGCACUGUGCAAACACGAAAGUGGACGUAUACGGUGUGACGCCUGCCCGGUGCCGGAAGGUUAAUUGAUGGGGUUAUCCGUAAGGAGAAGCUCUUGAUCGAAGCCCCGGUAAACGGCGGCCGUAACUAUAACGGUCCUAAGGUAGCGAAAUUCCUUGUCGGGUAAGUUCCGACCUGCACGAAUGGCGUAAUGAUGGCCAGGCUGUCUCCACCCGAGACUCAGUGAAAUUGAACUCGCUGUGAAGAUGCAGUGUACCCGCGGCAAGACGGAAAGACCCCGUGAACCUUUACUAUAGCUUGACACUGAACAUUGAGCCUUGAUGUGUAGGAUAGGUGGGAGGCUUUGAAGCGUGGACGCCAGUCUGCGUGGAGCCAACCUUGAAAUACCACCCUUUAAUGUUUGAUGUUCUAACGUUGGCCCCUGACCGGGGUUGCGGACAGUGUCUGGUGGGUAGUUUGACUGGGGCGGUCUCCUCCCAAAGCGUAACGGAGGAGCACGAAGGUUAGCUAAUCCUGGUCGGACAUCAGGAGGUUAGUGCAAUGGCAUAAGCUAGCUUGACUGCGAGCGUGACGGCGCGAGCAGGUGCGAAAGCAGGUCAUAGUGAUCCGGUGGUUCUGAAUGGAAGGGCCAUCGCUCAACGGAUAAAAGGUACUCCGGGGAUAACAGGCUGAUACCGCCCAAGAGUUCAUAUCGACGGCGGUGUUUGGCACCUCGAUGUCGGCUCAUCACAUCCUGGGGCUGAAGUAGGUCCCAAGGGUAUGGCUGUUCGCCAUUUAAAGUGGUACGCGAGCUGGGUUUAGAACGUCGUGAGACAGUUCGGUCCCUAUCUGCCGUGGGCGCUGGAGAAUUGAGGGGGGCUGCUCCUAGUACGAGAGGACCGGAGUGGACGCAUCACUGGUGUUCGGGUUGUCAUGCCAAUGGCACUGCCCGGUAGCUAAAUGCGGAAGAGAUAAGUGCUGAAAGCAUCUAAGCACGAAACUUGCCCCGAGAUGAGUUCUCCCUGAGACUUUAAGUCUCCUGAAGGAACGUUGAAGACGACGACGUUGAUAGGCCGGGUGUGUAAGCGCAGCGAUGCGUUGAGCUAACCGGUACUAAUGAACCGUGAGGCUUAACCUUACAACGCCGAAG